CCACUGCCCCCUGGUUGCCCCUGCUCCUGCAGUGGUCUCAGGGACGGCUUUGGGGAAACCGACAAGAAUCUGCGCAAUUGCAGCUGCCCAGCCUGCCCAGCAGAAGAGCUCGCUGCACGCUAAGCGAUGAAUGCAUUCCACUCACGUGGCUCUGCAACGGCCACCCACACUGUUCGAACUCCAGUGAUGAGCUCAGCUGUGGAACCAGGGAGCCUCUCCUGGGAGGGAAUGCCACCACCUUGGGGCCCCCUGUGACCUUGGAGAGUGUUACCUCUCUCGGGAAUGCAACGUCCUCCUCUGCAAGACCAAGUGCCUAUGGGGUUAUCGUAGUUGCUGCCGUGCUGAGUACAAGCCUGGUGGUCACCACCCUCCUCCUUUUGUUCUGGCUCCGAGCCCAGGGGCGCCUCUACCCACUGGGGUGCCUCCGCCCACUGGGGCUACUGGUGAACGUGAAGGAGUCCCUGGUGCUGUCAGAACGGAAGACCUCUCUGAUCUAAGGACAAGCACUGGCCACCACCAUCACCCAGCCCUGGAUGUAGCCAGGCAGGAGGAGAGCAGUGAUGUGGCGGGGCGCCAGCCCUCCGAGACCCGGGCUCUUCUGGCCACUUGGAACCUCGAACUUCGAACCCGAGCUCCUGCAGAAGCGGCCCUGGAGAUUCAGGGUCCCUCGACACUCUCUACGGAGACCCGGGGAGCUUGGAUGGGGAACACCCCACAGCCAGAACCGAGAGGCAGGCCCCAGGCAGCUCCCAUGGGGGUAGAACGACCCAGUGCUUAAGACACUCCUGCUGCCCCAUCUGAGGGUGGAGAAUAAAGCUGCUUCACAUCUUCAAAA